rnacentral:lncRNA from 1 species
UAAAGUUUAAAAUUUAUAAUUUAAUGUUAAAAUUUAAUUUUAAAUUUAAAUUUUAAAUUUCAAAUUUUUUAAUUUUAAAUUUCAAAUUUUGAAUUUUAAAUUUUAAAUUCAAAAUUUAAAUUUAGGUUGGAAAAUUUUAAUUUUAAAUUUAGAUUUAAAUUUUCAAAUUUUAAAUUUAAAAUUUUGAAAAUUUGAAAUUAUUUUUUGUACAAAUUUGAAAUUUAAAAAUUAUACUUUUAUUUAAAGUUUAAAAUUUUAAUUUAAAUUCAAAUUUUAAAUUAUUUUAAAAUAAAAUUUAGUAAAUAUAUUAAUAUAUGCAAGCAUCAAAAUUUUUUGGCCAAUUUGCAUAAAAAAUUCACUUAUUUUGGGCUUUUGCAAAACCGGACCACCUUUUUCGUUUUUGCAAAUUUGGUCUGCUUUUUCAGCAAACUGACCAAAAUACCCUUAUUACUUUUUCUCUUUCCUCUUUCUCUCUCCUCUUCGUUCUCUCGUUCUUUUUUUUUUUUUNUCUCCCUCCUGCGCCCUGCCGCUCGGCCUCCCCUUCUUCUUCUUCGCCGUUGUCUUCUUCUCCGCAUCCAGCCCGACCCCAUUCACCGCGGCCGCUGCCGCCGCGGCGACGGGAUCGGGCUGGGGGUCCGCGGCAGCGGAGGAGAGGAGGAGGGGGUCGCGGGCGGUGGAGAGGAGGGUGAGGAGGGAGGCGACGGUGAAUAAGGAUGAUGAGGAGGGAGGCGACGGUGAAGAAGAAGGCGACAGUCCGCCUUUUUUUUUUGGCGAGAAAAAAAAAAAGAACGACAGAAACGAAGAGGAGAGAGAAAGAGGAAAGAGAAAAAGUAAUAAGGAUAUUUUAGUCAGUUUGCUGAAAAAGCGGACCAAAUAUGCAAAAACGAAAAAGGUGGCCCGGUUUUGCAAAAGCCCAAAAUAAGUGGAUUUUUUAUGCAAAAAGGCCAAAUUUUUUUGCCAAAUAGGUUUAGAAAAUCAUUUCAAAAAAAUUACUUUUAUCUAAACUCAGCCAAACGCUCUACAGCUUUUCACCAAAAUCAAAUUUUCAAACCAAAAUUACUUAUGCAGAAAUCACUUUUCAGAAAUUAGGCCAAACAACCCUAUUUCUACAGUAAUUUCCAAAGUUCCU